rnacentral:rRNA from 1 species
CACGUAGGGCGCAAGCGUUGUCCGGAAUUAUUGGGCGUAAAGAGCUCGUAGGCGGCCUGUUACGUCUGCUGUGAAAUCCCGGGGCUUAACCCCGGGCGUGCAGUGGAUACGGGCAGGCUGGAGGCAGGCAGGGGAGAACGGAAUUCCCGGUGUAGCGGUGAAAUGCGCAGAUAUCGGGAGGAACACCGGUGGCGAAGGCGGUUCUCUGGGCCUGUACUGACGCUGAGGAGCGAAAGCGUGGGGAGCGAACAGG